rnacentral:rRNA from 1 species
GCAGUCGAGGGGUAUAGUUCUUCGGAAUUAGAGACCGGCGCACGGGUGCGUAACGCGUAUGCAAUCUACCUUUUACAGAGGGAUAGCCCAGAGAAAUUUGGAUUAAUACCUCAUAGUAUGUGAGAAUGGCAUCAUUUUCACAUUAAAGUCACAACGGUAAAAGAUGAGCAUGCGUCCCAUUAGCUAGUUGGUAAGGUAACGGCUUACCAAGGCUACGAUGGGUAGGGGUCCUGAGAGGGAGAUCCCCCACACUGGUACUGAGACACGGACCAGACUCCUACGGGAGGCAGCAGUGAGGAAUAUUGGUCAAUGGACGCAAGUCUGAACCAGCCAUGCCGCGUGCAGGAUGACGGUCCUAUGGAUUGUAAACUGCUUUUGUACAGGAAGAAACAACAUUACGUGUAAUGUCUUGACGGUACUGUAAGAAUAAGGAUCGGCUAACUCCGUGCCAGCAGCCGCGGUAAUACGGAGGAUCCAAGCGUUAUCCGGAAUCAUUGGGUUUAAAGGGUCCGUAGGCGGUUUAGUAAGUCAGUGGUGAAAGCCCAUCGCUCAACGGUGGAACGGCCAUUGAUACUGCUAGACUUGAAUUAUUAGGAAGUAACUAGAAUAUGUAGUGUAGCGGUGAAAUGCUUAGAGAUUACAUGGAAUACCAAUUGCGAAGGCAGGUUACUACUAAUGGAUUGACGCUGAUGGACGAAAGCGUGGGUAGCGAACAGGAUUAGAUACCCUGGUAGUCCACGCCGUAAACGAUGGAUACUAGCUGUUGGGAGCAAUCUCAGUGGCUAAGCGAAAGUGAUAAGUAUCCCACCUGGGGAGUACGUUCGCAAGAAUGAAACUCAAAGGAAUUGAC